CACACACACCGCACUCGAUCACGAGCUCAAAGACGAUGGAGUCUAGCCGGGCAUCUGCGUUCACGCGCAUUUCGGCAUUUACAUUCAUAGACUUUUAUGACAUAUUAACAUGCCCGGAUGGUGUAUGUGGCAUGACAGCCACCCAUGACAACAAACGCAGUCACGUGUUUAGUUUCUGUUUAAAACUGACGCAUGAUGGGGAUUCACACGGGAAAAACAGUGAUGCACCUAAGCGAAACUAAGCACAACACAACGUAACACAAAAUUACGACGCCGGUGACUGUGGAGGUCCCUCAAUGCUUAUUGGAGGUCCAGGAACAGCACAUCCCCGCCCCUCAAUUCAAAAAAUGGAGCUUGAUGAAGUGGAAUAUUAGCCUACCUAAACAAACACAAAAAUGUUUCCUAUCUUCUUGCCAACGAAGAGCUUCACUUUCAACACCUGCCAUAUGAUGUCAUGUGAGGCGACUAUGCUCUACUAGCCACAGAUCCAGAUAAAUCUCAAGUGAAUCUGUGGAGAAUCACUGAUGGGUUUGAUAAAGCUCAGAUGUUACCUCUGACCCUGUGAGAUGACAUCUGUGUCUGUGAUGUCUCUCUCCAUCCUGGUGCAAAACUGAUCCCUUUAGACCUCUAUCAUUUAGACCUUUGGACCUCUAUCAUAUAACUUCAUUCAGUCAUGGAUUCAAAAGGUGUCAAAGUUGAGGCUGGUAUGAGUUUGAGGGUCAAUGACAAGUCAAUGGGACUAAUCCUUAAAUCUUAUACUGACAUUCAACCCUUCUGUGGAGACUUUUAUCAGGAAAUUGUGUCAAGACAAAGUUAGAUCUCUUGGUGAGGAGGGUUACAUUAACAUAUCACCAAGGAAACAGCAGUCUGUAUUGACACCAAUAUUGUAACAAUACUAUUUUUUAAAUUAAAUGUGAAUACCAUGGUAAUUUGGAUAUAAUAUAUUUGACCAUAUUCUGGUAUCAUGGUAUUUAAAUACAUAAACAUAAGAUCAUACAUGUCCCAAAAACUGCAGUGUUGACGCUGUGUAUGUCCAAAAAAAACAACAUGGUACCAUUUGGGACUGUUACUUUGUUAUGACAAUUAUAUGUGCCUUUAUGGAGCUAAGUUUUAAAAACAAUUAAUCUUUUCUUUUAUCCUUUGAUUCUGUCUGAUCAUUUAUUUCAUAUAUUGCAUCUCCACCGCCUCAGGAGAACAGGGAUUAUCCGCAGAUGGAUUGUUUGUUUUUCAAAUCCAGUGAGGAGAGUACAAUCUGUUCUAUCAAUGCACCUUUUUACCCAGAAAUCUUCAGAAUAAAUUGGUCCACUCCAAGAUCCCAUUUAUUUUUGUCACUAAUGUCGCAGACAAUAACAGAGAAUGACUUCAAAGGUCUCUGCUAUGGAUACAGACUCUUUGUUUGCCUGGUGUCAUGAGGGCUACAAAUAUUGUAAAGAGCUUGGAUUUUUCUAAACAUUGCCCAGAGGAACAAAUAUUUCUCAGAUGUUGCUCUGUCCCCUCAGUAGACCUAAUAUAGAUUUCACUCACAUUUUAUUUACUGU